UACAGAGGUCCCAAGCGUUGUUCGGAUUCAUUGGGCGUAAAGGGUGCGUAGGCGGCGCGGUAAGUCGGGUGUGAAAUCUCGGAGCUUAACUCCGAAACUGCAUUCGAUACUGCCGUGCUUGAGGACUGGAGAGGAGACUGGAAUUCCCGGUGUAGCGGUGAAAUGCGUAGAGAUCGGGAGGAAGGCCGGUGGCGAAGGCGGCGCUCUGGAACAUUUCUGACGCUGAGGCUCGAAAGCGUGGAGAGCAAACAGG
rnacentral:rRNA from 1 species